rnacentral:lncRNA from 1 species
CUUUUAAGGUUUCAAUUAUUAGGGUUUGGAGAUGGAGAGGGUUUGGAAAAUGAGAAUGCUUUGAAAUAGUUCUCUUUUGAGGUUUUAAAUAUUUAGGGUUUGGGAAUGGAGAGGGUUUGGGAAAUGGGAAGGUUUUGAUUUUUAAAUAUUAGGGUUUGGGUUUAGGAAAUGGGAAGGUUUUGAUUUUUGAAUAUUAAGGUUUGGGUUAUAAAGAUAUAUGCAUUUUGGUUUAGAUUACAAAAGUGGAAGUAUUUUUUUGGCCUUUAGAUUCGGAUCUAAUGGUUUUAAUUUUUUUUAUAUAUUAUAUUAUAUUAAUUUUUUCGGGUUCGGGUUCAGAUUUUUUAAAAAUAUCCACAUCCGAACUCGAAUCCAUCGGAUUUUUUUUUUAAAUAUCCAUACCCGAAUCCGUAUCCAUUUACAUCGGAUAAAAUCCGCUUCAUUCGGGUUUGGAUUCGGAUAAAAUUAGGGUAUCCAUAUCUAUUUACAUCCCUAUGAAUUGCACGAGGGCAAUUUUAAUAACGCGAGAGAUAUUACUUAGCUAUUGCAACUAAAACAUAUAAGCUUCAUAUACAUCAACCCAAAAUACAUCCAUUUCCAUAUAUUUUACACCCAUGCAAAAUACAAUGGCAUAUACAUUUUCAUCUCCCA